UAUAAACUGGCAGUUAUGCUUCUCAAAUACACCUUCAGCUUACAAAUUACAGGAUCCGCACAGGGGAACGGCGUGGGAAAGUGGGAGACAAGCCCCAGGCAUAACUUUUUGCUUAUGGAUCUUAGUCAUGUGUUUGAGCAUUAAAAAAGCAUUUACAGGAAAAUAAAGAAAUACAACAAAAUUUAUGAAAAACUAUACAUAAACAAGACUGGCAAACAACCAAUGUGAAAAAGGAGACAAACUGUGCAAAUAAAAGAAUAAAUAAUACUGAGAACAUGAGCUGUAGAGGCCUUGAAGGGCUGAUGCUCUAGUGCGGUACUGAGAGAGUGCAAAGCUGUAGGAAGAACGGGGAAGUAUUCCCUGGGUUCCCCUGGAACUUGCCACAUUUUCUAGGCAAAUGAGACAAACUGGUUUCCCAGCUUGCUCCAUGAAGAAGUAAUCAUUGAUGUGGAAGAAGUCCAAGUGUCUUGGAAAUUUCAGAACUCAGUGUCUACCUUCCUGCGUUUUGCAUUCAUUGCCAUUGGAAUUUUUUUCUUCAAUUUUAUUUCGAAACGUGAGUUAUUCAACAAGUAUCGUAGCACAUGUAAAUAUCUGGAUAUUUAGCGUGGAUUUCUUGUUAAAACACAGUGAUGCUGUUUCUGUUUACAAAUUUGAAUGACCCCAUCUGAAAACCCGCGCGUGCACGGAGAGUAUCUGAUACAUAUUAAUAAGGUAGUCUAUCUUCCCGUCAUUCGUAUAUACCAGUGUUUGGUUUGGAAGAAAAUGGAACCUGGGGCCAGUGUAACAAAACACCAUGCAUGUCCAUCAGUGUGGUGGCGUGAAACACUCAGAAUAAGGAAAAAUCACUCGCGGGCUGGAUAAGCAUAGUAUCUCAAUAUUUGCUCACAGGCUGGUGAAAAUACCUUCGCAGGACGGAUCUGGCCCGCGGGCCGUAGGUUGCCUACCCUUGGUGUAGACAUUUAAAAUAGUAAUGUGGCAAAAGUAUAGUAUAUUAGCUAUGAAUGUGCCAGAAAAGCAGGGAUGGUUCCCCUGAGAACUGUAAAGUCGAGAGAUGAUUUGGUAUAAUACAAAACUAUGAAGGCUCCAUUCAUGUGAAUGAAGAGAAACUAUAUCUAUGAGUAAAUGGAUCAAGAGCAUAGUUUCAACACAUAGUUUUAAGCAAAGCUCAGGGGUAAGUGGAAAGACACAUUAUGAUUUAAAAUUAGCUGCCUGAAAGAAUGGCGGGAGAAUUCAAAUGUGACUUUCAAAGGAUAAACAGACAAGAUAUUUGAGGGAGAAAAAGUUUGCAGAGCUGUGAAGCGGGGUGAGCAUUGUGACUGCAUUUCUUGGGCUAAAUGAGGAUAAGAAUAGGAUGAUUUGGCUGGUGAAUAUGUGGUUGAGGAAUUGGUGCAGUGGGCAGGGUUUCAGAUUUCUGGAUCGUUGGGAUCUCAUCUGGGGAAGGUAUGCUAUUUACAGAAAGGACAGGUAACACCUGAAUUUCAGGGGACCAAUAUCCUUGUGGGCAGGUUUACUAGAGCUGUUGGAGAGAGUUUAAACUAAUUUGCAGAGGAAUGUGAACUGGAGUGAUACGGCAGAGGAUGGGGCAUUUGGUAUACAAGUAGAUGCAGUGUAUAGUGAGGCUGUGAGAUAGGAUAGGCAGUUGAUAGGAAAAUUGCAGUCAGUGGGAUGAGUUGAAGUGUAUCUUUAAACUAAUUAGUGGGGUGGUUCAAUGGUUUGGAAAUUGAGGCUAAAGUAAAAAGGAAGGAGAAUGCAGGAGAGAUUAUGAAAGUCUCCAGAAUAAAUUUAAAAACAGAAACUUUAGAAAUGCAUUAGAAUUUAACUCCCAGUAACAUGGGAUAAAAUUGAAAAGGGUGAUAAAUACAGGACUGAAGGUCUUAUAUUUGAAUCCAUGCAGAAUUUGGAAUAAGGUAGACGAUCUUGUAGCACAGUUAGAGAUUGGCAGUUAUGACAUUCUGGGCAUCACCCUAGGUCAUGGCUGAGGGAAGAUCACAGUUGGGAACUGAAAAUCCAAGGAUACGCCUUGUGUCAAAAAGACAGGCAGGUAGGCAGAGAGGGUGGGAUGGCGCUGUUGGUAAAAAAUGAAAUCAAAGACUGAGAAAGAGGUGUCUUAGGAUCGUAAGAUGUAAAACCCUUGUGGAUAGAGUUAAGAAACUGCAACGGUAAAAAGACCCAGAUGGAGUUACGUACAGGCCUCUGCAGCUAGGAUACAAAUCACAAUAGGAGAUAGAAAAGCAACGUAAAAAAUUCGAUGGUACAAUAGUCAUGGAGGAUUUCAACAUGUGAGUAAAUUGGGAAAAUUAGGCUAGUGCUGGAUCCCAAGAGUGGAAAUUUGUAGAAUGCCUACGAGAUGGCUUUUUGGACCAGGCUGAGCACACUAGAAAAAGGCAAUUCUGGAGUGGGUGUUGUGUAGUGAACCAGAUUUAAUUAGGGAGUUUUAAGGUGAAGGAACCCUUAUGAGGGGGGUCAUCAUAAUAUGAAAGAAUUCACCCUGCAGUUUGAGAGGGAGAAGCUAAAAUCAGAUGUGGAAUAAAGGGAAAGACGGAGCAUGAAGCAGGAGCUGGCCAAAGUUGACUGGAAGAGAACAUGAGCAGAAAUGAUGGCAGGACAGCAAUGGCUGGAGUUUCUGGUAGUAAUUCGGAAGGCACAAGAGAGAUUCUGCUAAAGAAAAAGAAAUAUUCUAAACGGAGGAUGAAGCAACCGUGCCUGAGAAGUCAAAGACAGCAUGAAAGCAAAAGAGAGGACAUAUAAUAUUGCAAGAGAAGCUAGAGAAUUAGGAAGUUUUUAAAAACCAAAAGGCAGCAUCUAAAAAAAUUAAAGGGUAUGCGGAGCGUUUGAUGGUUCUAGACAUGUACUCGCUGGAAUUUAGAAGAAUUUUGAAGUUUCAAGUAAAAUUAUUAUCAAAGAAUGUACAAUUUAUACAACCUUGAGAUUUGUUUACUUACAGGCAGCCACCAAGCAAGAAACCCGAAAGACUCAAUUAAAAAAAAGACCAACCCCUGAUGUGCAGAGAAAGGGGGGAGAAAAAACACAAAUCAUGGAAACAAUAGAAAGAGUGACAACAUUCCAAAUCAAAAUGAGUCCUUAGAUCCAAACCUCAGACUAGUUCCAAAGCCUUAGUAUCAAUCCAGCAUAUUAGCGGACACAGAGCACAACAGAUGGGGACAGUCGUCAUAGCCUCAGUGCCAUGGAGAGAGGAGUGAACAUUGUGGGAGAACAAGUGAAAUCAGCACUCUAUCUUUCCAGUAUAUCUGGGCUGGUAUUUAAAUUGUCCGAACAGCGUACUGUACCUUGCACUAGGAUCCAGGCACUGCUGCAGCAAAAGGCUUCUGGUCCUAGCAGACGCUGCCCAGAGACUUGAUCCGGGCCCAGAUUUCACCACCCAGCCCAAAGCUGAUCUCACUUUCUCCAAAUCAGCUUGGCGCCCAGAGCAAUCCAACCUCAGACCCAGGCCACACCUCAGCUUCUCCUCUCCACAUGGGUCACUCCAUCUGUGUCGAUUCUGCAACAUAGCAGCAUGGCUCAUUCCUCAAAUUCACUUGACCUUCGUUGUUUGCAGUGGUAAUUUACUACAGAAAUGGUGUUAUUAGCGAUGUUGUUAGUCAAAUUUCUUGCCUUUUGAACUACCGCUGCCUUCUGCACGGGUUCAGUAGUCCCUUCUUAAACAGGAAAAAUUAAAGAAUUGAAAGGCCAAGAUAGAGUGGAUGUGGAGAGAAUGUUUGCUAUAGUGGGAUUGCCUUGGACCAGAAGGCACAGCCUCAGAAAAGAGGGAUGUCUUUUUAGAACAGAGAUGAAGAGGGAUGUUUUUUAGAACAGAGAUGAGGAGGAAUUUCUUUCACCAAAGGGAGGUGAAUCUGUGGAAUU